rnacentral:sRNA from 1 species
GUGAAGGUUGGCCGUCUGUACCUUACUUCCAUUUUCAAUUCUAACAUUCAUGGUAGUUGGAAGCUACGGCUUGAGGCAGAGAAGAGGGUAUCCGAAAUUUAGAUUCUACUCGGAUAUAUAUCGUACAGUAACAACCCAAAAAAAAAAGUCCAAAAAGUGCGCAGAAAAUGCCUAAUUCCCCGCAGCACGCGCACGGGACUCCACGAGCGGUUGCAUGAGAAAGUCAUCAAAAGCGAGCUCCUCAGCCGUUGGCCUCUCCUCCGGCCUCCAGCGUAAUAUCCUUCGGAGGUAAUUCAAAAAUAGAGCGCGAUCCUCCUCGUUCAGUCGCCACUCGCGUGUUUCGAAAGAUUGAUCCGGGAUGGGUAUGGAGCCCUUCCAGUUUCCUGCCAGAAAAGAAAUAUAUGCGUCCGCCCUCGAAUAGAUCGCAGAGCACUGGAAACCCAGUGCAUAUUGGCAUGGGUCGAGAGGUAUAUAUGGCACGAUCAUUUUCCAGGCUUUUCCUCGCGCUUGGAUGAUCGACUUCUUCCUGUUCAAGUUGUGUCAGGAUGGAAUCAUCGUGGACGCCCUGGAGGAGAUUGUUGGAGGAGAUAUCUCGAGUUGAGAAGUCAGUGAGUAGUGUUUACAGGAAAGAUAAGGUGAUACUUUUGUUGUUUUUGGCCCAAAAAAAUCACCUGUAUGCACAACUUCACACCUGUGCAAAAAGUCAACAGCAAAAAGAAGAAAUUGGAUGCUUCUCUGAACAAGGUCUUUCGGAAACAUCUUGUCUGGGAAGAGCUUGAGGAAAUCGGUGAACCUCAUCCCAAGUGGCUUAUAGACAAGACACUGGUGCACUCCAUUGGGACCGGUGACUUCGAAGGAAUCAAGGACUCUCCGGACAAGCUCUUCCCCCCCGCGACUCUCGAGAGGGAAAUCGUGAAGAUGCUGGGAAACUGUAAUCUCAUGGUGUUGAUGUUGUUCUGUUCCCUCUUUUCGGAUGCACACUUUGAGAGCGAUAUAUCGAUGUUCUCUAUCAAAUAAUUAGAACGUAGCCAUCUAGGAACUAGGACUAGCUAGCAGCCUUUGGUUAUUUAUCAUGUUUAUGAAGCUAGCAAGCUACAGACUUUAAAUCCCGACAAAGCCAAACCGUCGACGUCGUCCCGAAACCCAGCUUGGAAACGACUUGGUAUCUUGCCUCGAACACCUGUCCAAUAUGGACCGGGUAGAACUGUUCCGCUUUGUAAGAAGGAAUAUCCUCCUCUUCGACCAAUUCCUUUGAGCUCCACUCGGGGAAUGCAGACGUCGAAAAUUCGCGUGUUGGCGACGGCAAUGAAGCCAUUGCUCUGGGGGUUCCUUUGCACGUUGGAU